CAACAGGAUUGGGAGGAACUGAGCUUUAACAGAAGCUGCAACAACUGCAGGAGGCUCACAGGGUCCUGGAGAGCAGGUUAACUUGCAGCAUGAAGGAGGUGGCUGAGCUAAGUGACAGGAAGUAGCAGCUUGAGCAUGCUGUAGUGCAUGAGGAGACAGAGUCCAUCGGUGUGUGCAUGUUUUUUGCUCAUUUGAAUCAUCUGUAAAAGUGAAGUGGAGGAAGUGUUUACUGUUUACUGUAUGCCAUUUCCUUGGUCUUUUAAUGAAGAAUUUUAUCCUUCUUCAGGUGACUACAUCACCAUCUACCAGUUGCAGCGAGGAGUGAUGAAGCAACAAGCUCGAGAACGCGAGUUAGACCUUGCCAGCCUCCAUCAUGAAUGAGAGGAAAUGAAGCAAAACCACUCUGCAGGAUUUGAUAUCAAAGCUGGUGCAGGAAAAGGAAGCAGAUCAUGACCUUCAGCAGCUCGAGAAGAUAAGCAGCGUCCUUAAGAGUCCAGUUGCUAUCUUUAGCAGUGUUGGAACCAGUGAGUCUGAGACACCCACCAGCAGUGGAAAGCUGGCUGACGAGCGCCUCAAGCACUCUGAAAAGGUGGAGCAACAACAAGAAACAGAAAAUUGCAUCCAUCAUUCUUUGCCUGAGGAGGGAAUUGAUGCUCUGUUGACCCUUCACACUGAUGUCCCUCAUGAGGAGGCAGAAUAUGAAUCCUACAGAACUUGCCCAUAGAAAGACCAAAACUGUUACUGCUGCCACACUGCCACCACUUCCACUGACACCAAAAGCCCAACUGUGCAGAGAAUCCUGGACCUCCGCAAUGAAAUGGAGUCCACCAGUCACCUGGAGCACUUUAGCCUCCAAAAGUUCCAUCCGUGUCCAUUGUGUUUGGGUAAACUUAUCACUGUAUAAGGGGACAAGUAUCAGUGUAUGGUUACUAUAUACUCAUUUGUACUUAAAGAUGUCAUGUCACAUCAUUCUCUCUCUCUCUCUCUCUCUCUCUCUCUCUCUCUCUCUCUCUCUCUCUCUCUCUCUCUCUCUCUCUCUCUCUCUCUCUCUCUCUCUCUCUCUCUC